AUUGAACGCUGGCGGCAGGCCUAACACAUGCAAGUCGAGCGGAUGAAGAGAGCUUGCUCUCUGAUUUAGCGGCGGACGGGUGAGUAAUGCCUAGGAAUCUGCCUGGUAGUGGGGGAUAACGUUCCGAAAGGAACGCUAAUACCGCAUACGUCCUACGGGAGAAAGCAGGGGACCUUCGGGCCUUGCGCUAUCAGAUGAGCCUAGGUCGGAUUAGCUAGUCGGUGAGGUAAUGGCUCACCAAGGCUACGAUCCGUAACUGGUCUGAGAGGAUGAUCAGUCACACUGGAACUGAGACACGGUCCAGACUCCUACGGGAGGCAGCAGUGGGGAAUAUUGGACAAUGGGCGAAAGCCUGAUCCAGCCAUGCCGCGUGUGUGAAGAAGGUCUUCGGAUUGUAAAGCACUUUAAGUUGGGAGGAAGGGCAGUAAGUUAAUACCUUGCUGUUUUGACGUUACCGACAGAAUAAGCACCGGCUAACUUCGUGCCAGCCGCCGCAGUAAAAC
rnacentral:rRNA from 1 species